GAGUUUGAUCCUGGCUCAGGAUGAACGCUGGCGGCGUGCUUAACACAUGCAAGUCGAACGAGGUCCAUGGAGCUUGCUCCGGAAGAUCUAGUGGCGAACGGGUGCGUAGCACGUGAGAAACCUGCCCCGAUCUCUGGGAGUAACAGUUGGAACGAACUGCUAAUACCGGAGUGCCGUCCCACCGCUUCAUGGCGGAGUGACGAAGGAUUUAUUCGGAUCGGGAGGGUCUCGCGGCCUAUCAGCUAGUUGGAGAGGUAACGGCUCACCAAGGCAUCGACGGGUAGCUGGUCUGAGAGGAUGAUCAGCCACACUGGGACUGAGACACGGCCCAGACUCCUACGGGAGGCAGCAGUGGGGAAUCUUGCACAAUGGGCGAAAGCCUGAUGCAGCAACGCCGCGUGCGGGAAGAAGGCCCUAGGGUUGUAAACCGCUUUCAGUAGGGAAGAAAUGGCGGUACCUACAGAAGAAGGUGCGGCCAACUACGUGCCAGCAGCCGCAGU
rnacentral:rRNA from 1 species